UCCGAUUUACACCGGCGGUCUCCUAUGAGUUCCCAUCUUUCAUGCUGGCAACAUAGGACGAGGGUUGCGCUCGUUGGCGGACUUAACCGUACACCUCACGGCACGAGCUGACGACAGCCAUGCAACAUCUGUCUUCAGGUCCCCUUUUGGGGGAGGGCCAUAUCUCUAUGGCUUUCCUUCGAUGUCAAACCUGGGUAAGGUUCUUCGGUUAGUAUCGAAUUAAUCCACAUGCUCCACCGCUUGUGCGGGUCCCCGUCAAUUCAUUUGAGUUUCAACCUUGCGGCCGUACUCCCCAGGCGGGAUGCUUAAUGCGUUAGCUGCGGCACUGGAGGGGUCGAUGCCUCCAACGCCUAGCAUCCAUCGUUUAGGGCGUGGACUAC
rnacentral:misc_RNA from 1 species